AUUGAACGCUGGCGGCAUGCCUUACACAUGCAAGUCGAACGGCAGCACGGGGGCAACCCUGGUGGCGAGUGGCGAACGGGUGAGUAAUGCAUCGGAACGUGCCCAGUAGUGGGGGACAACCAGUCGAAAGAUUGGCUAAUACCGCAUACGACCUAUGGGUGAAAGCGGGGGACCGUAAGGCCUCGCGCUAUUGGAGCGGCCGAUGUCUGAUUAGCUAGUUGGUGAGGUAAAGGCUCACCAAGGCGACGAUCAGUAGCUGGUCUGGGAGGACGACCAGCCACACUGGGACUGAGACACGGCCCAGACUCCUACGGGAGGCAGCAGUGGGGAAUUUUGGACAAUGGGCGCAAGCCUGAUCCAACCAUGCCGCGUGCGGGAAGAAGGCCUUCGGGUUGUAAACCGCUUUUGGCAGGAACGAAACGGCGCGGGCUAAUACCCAGCGUUAAUGACGGUACCUGCAGAAUAAGCACCGGCUAACUACGUGCCAGCCGCCGCAGUAACAC
rnacentral:rRNA from 1 species